GGUUAAGCGACUAAGCGUACACGGUGGAUGCCCUGGCAGUCAGAGGCGAUGAAGGACGUGCUAAUCUGCGAAAAGCGUCGGUAAGGUGAUAUGAACCGUUAUAACCGGCGAUGUCCGAAUGGGGAAACCCAGUGCAAUUCGUUGCACUAUCGUUAACUGAAUACAUAGGUUAACGAGGCGAACCGGGGGAACUGAAACAUCUAAGUACCCCGAGGAAAAGAAAUCAACCGAGAUUCCCCCAGUAGCGGCGAGCGAACGGGGAGCAGCCCAGAGUCUGAAUCAGCUUGUGUGUUAGUGGAACGGUCUGGAAAGUCCGACGGUACAGGGUGAUAGUCCCGUACACCAAAAUGCACAGGUUGUGAACUCGAAGAGUAGGGCGGGACACGUGGUAUCCUGUCUGAAUAUGGGGGGACCAUCCUCCAAGGCUAAAUACUCCUGACUGACCGAUAGUGAACCAGUACCGUGAGGGAAAGGCGAAAAGAACCCCGGCGAGGGGAGUGAAAAAGAACCUGAAACCGUGUACGUACAAGCAGUGGGAGCACCUUCGGGUGUGACUGCGUACCUUUUGUAUAAUGGGUCAGCGACUUAUAUUCUGUAGCAAGGUUAACCGUAUAGGGGAGCCGCAGGGAAACCGAGUCUUAACUGGGCGUUAAGUUGCAGGGUAUAGACCCGAAACCCGGUGAUCUAGCCAUGGGCAGGUUGAAGGUUGGGUAACACUAACUGGAGGACCGAACCGACUAAUGUUGAAAAAUUAGCGGAUGACUUGUGGCUGGGGGUGAAAGGCCAAUCAAACCGGGAGAUAGCUGGUUCUCCCCGAAAGCUAUUUAGGUAGCGCCUCGUGAACUCAUCUUCGGGGGUAGAGCACUGUUUCGGCUAGGGGGUCAUCCCGACUUACCAACCCGAUGCAAACUACGAAUACCGAAGAAUGUUAUCACGGGAGACACACGGCGGGUGCUAACGUCCGUCGUGAAGAGGGAAACAACCCAGACCGCCAGCUAAGGUCCCAAAGUCAUGGUUAAGUGGGAAACGAUGUGGGAAGGCACAGACAGCCAGGAUGUUGGCUUAGAAGCAGCCAUCAUUUAAAGAAAGCGUAAUAGCUCACUGGUCGAGUCGGCCUGCGCGGAAGAUGUAACGGGGCUAAACCAUGCACCGAAGCUGCGGCAGCGACACUAUGUGUUGUUGGGUAGGGGAGCGUUCUGUAAGCCUGCGAAGGUGACCUGUGAGGGUUGCUGGAGGUAUCAGAAGUGCGAAUGCUGACAUAAGUAACGAUAAAGCGGGUGAAAAGCCCGCUCGCCGGAAGACCAAGGGUUCCUGUCCAACGUUAAUCGGGGCAGGGUGAGUCGACCCCUAAGGCGAGGCCGAAAGGCGUAGUCGAUGGGAAACAGGUUAAUAUUCCUGUACUUGGUGUUACUGCGAAGGGGGGACGGAGAAGGCUAUGUUAGCCGGGCGACGGUUGUCCCGGUUUAAGCAUGUAGGCUGGUUAUCCAGGCAAAUCCGGAUAAUCAAGGCUGAGGUGUGAUGACGAGGCACUACGGUGCUGAAGUAACAAAUGCCCUGCUUCCAGGAAAAGCCUCUAAGCAUCAGGUAACAUCAAAUCGUACCCCAAACCGACACAGGUGGUCAGGUAGAGAAUACCAAGGCGCUUGAGAGAACUCGGGUGAAGGAACUAGGCAAAAUGGUGCCGUAACUUCGGGAGAAGGCACGCUGGUGUGUAGGUGAAGCCCCUGCGGGUGGAGCUGAGACCAGUCGAAGAUACCAGCUGGCUGCAACUGUUUAUUAAAAACACAGCACUGUGCAAACACGAAAGUGGACGUAUACGGUGUGACGCCUGCCCGGUGCCGGAAGGUUAAUUGAUGGGGUUAUCCGUAAGGAGAAGCUCUUGAUCGAAGCCCCGGUAAACGGCGGCCGUAACUAUAACGGUCCUAAGGUAGCGAAAUUCCUUGUCGGGUAAGUUCCGACCUGCACGAAUGGCGUAAUGAUGGCCAGGCUGUCUCCACCCGAGACUCAGUGAAAUUGAACUCGCUGUGAAGAUGCAGUGUACCCGCGGCAAGACGGAAAGACCCCGUGAACCUUUACUAUAGCUUGACACUGAACAUUGAGCCUUGAUGUGUAGGAUAGGUGGGAGGCUUUGAAGCGUGGACGCCAGUCUGCGUGGAGCCAACCUUGAAAUACCACCCUUUAAUGUUUGAUGUUCUAACGUUGGCCCCUGACCGGGGUUGCGGACAGUGUCUGGUGGGUAGUUUGACUGGGGCGGUCUCCUCCCAAAGCGUAACGGAGGAGCACGAAGGUUAGCUAAUCCUGGUCGGACAUCAGGAGGUUAGUGCAAUGGCAUAAGCUAGCUUGACUGCGAGCGUGACGGCGCGAGCAGGUGCGAAAGCAGGUCAUAGUGAUCCGGUGGUUCUGAAUGGAAGGGCCAUCGCUCAACGGAUAAAAGGUACUCCGGGGAUAACAGGCUGAUACCGCCCAAGAGUUCAUAUCGACGGCGGUGUUUGGCACCUCGAUGUCGGCUCAUCACAUCCUGGGGCUGAAGUAGGUCCCAAGGGUAUGGCUGUUCGCCAUUUAAAGUGGUACGCGAGCUGGGUUUAGAACGUCGUGAGACAGUUCGGUCCCUAUCUGCCGUGGGCGCUGGAGAAUUGAGGGGGGCUGCUCCUAGUACGAGAGGACCGGAGUGGACGCAUCACUGGUGUUCGGGUUGUCAUGCCAAUGGCACUGCCCGGUAGCUAAAUGCGGAAGAGAUAAGUGCUGAAAGCAUCUAAGCACGAAACUUGCCCCGAGAUGAGUUCUCCCUGAGACUUUAAGUCUCCUGAAGGAACGUUGAAGACGACGACGUUGAUAGGCCGGGUGUGUAAGCGCAGCGAUGCGUUGAGCUAACCGGUACUAAUGAACCGUGAGGCUUAACCUU
rnacentral:rRNA from 1 species